rnacentral:rRNA from 1 species
CGGCACACAGAGGGAGGCGAAGAGGUGACUCGGAGCAGACCCCAAAAAUAACGUCCCAGUUCGGAUUGUAGUCUGCAACCCGACUACAUGAAGCUGGAAUCGCUAGUAAUCGUGGAUCAGAAUGCCGCGGUGAAUACGUUCCCGGGUCUUGUACACACCGCCCGUCACACCAUGGGAGUCAGCAACGCCCGAAGUCAGUGACCUAACCAUAAAGGGAGGAGCUGCCGAAGGCGGGGCCGGUAACUGGGGUGAAGUCGUAACAAGGUACC